rnacentral:rRNA from 1 species
AUGAACGCUGGCGGCGUGCCUAAUACAUGCAAGUCGAACGAAUCUCUUUUAGAGAUGAGUGGCGAACGGGUGAGUAAUACAUAGGUAACCUGCCCCUGUGCGGGGGAUAACAGGAGGAAACUCCUGCUAAUACCGCAUAGCCAUGAGCACCGCAUGGAGCUCAUGCCAAAUAUCCUUUCGGGGAUAGCGCAGGGAUGGACCUAUGGCGCAUUAGCUUGUUGGCGGGGCAACGGCCCACCAAGGCAACGAUGCGUAGCCGGCCUGAGAGGGCGGACGGCCACAUUGGGACUGAGACACGGCCCAGACUCCUACGGGAGGCAGCAGUAGGGAAUUUUCGGCAAUGGGGGAAACCCUGACCGAGCAACGCCGCGUGAGCGAAGAAGGCCUUCGGGUCGUAAAGCUCUGUUGUAAAGGAAGAACGGCGCAUACAGGAAAUGGUAUGCGAGUGACGGUACUUUACCAGAAAGCCACGGCUAACUACGUGCCAGCAGCCGCGGUAAUACGUAGGUGGCGAGCGUUAUCCGGAAUCAUUGGGCGUAAAGAGGGAGCAGGCGGCCGCAAGGGUCUGUGGUGAAAGACCGAAGCUAAACUUCGGUAAGCCAUGGAAACCGGGCGGCUAGAGUGCGGAAGAGGAUCGUGGAAUUCCAUGUGUAGCGGUGAAAUGCGUAGAUAUAUGGAGGAACACCAGUGGCGAAGGCGACGGUCUGGGCCGCAACUGACGCUCAUUCCCGAAAGCGUGGGGAGCAAAUAGGAUUAGAUACCCUAGUAGUCCACGCCGUAAACGAUGGUCACUAAGUGUCGGGGGUCAAACCCCGGUGCUGCAGUCAACGCAAUAAGUGACCCGCCUGAGUAGUACGUUCGCAAGAAUGAAACUCAAAGGAAUUGACGGA